rnacentral:lncRNA from 1 species
CAGGAGGCAAAGGAUUCUAUAGAAGAGGAGGCAGAAAGACUGAAGGAGCCAGAAAAUAUCAAUGCCAGGGAAACUGUCUUCGAGACCCAACAGGACUGAUACACGAGCCAAACCAGCAAUGUCUUCCCCUGCACAGCCUGCAGUUCCUGCCCCACUGGCCAACUUGAAGAUUCAACACACCAAGAUCUUCAUAAACAAUGAAUGGCAUGAUUCAGUGAGUGGCAAGAAAUUUCCUGUCCUUAACCCUGCAACUGAGGAGGUCAUCUGCCAUGUGGAAGAAGGGGACAAGAUGUUGACAAAGCUGUGAAGGCCGCAAGACAGGCUUUCCAGAUUGGCUCCCCAUGGCGCACCAUGGAUGCUUCAGAGAGAGGACGCUUGCUGAACAAGCUGGCUGACUUAAUGGAGAGAGAUCGUCUGCUGCUGGCUACAAUAGAGGCCAUCAAUGGUGGGAAAGUCUUUGCCAAUGCGUACUUGUCGGAUUUAGGAGGCAGCAUAAAAGCAUUAAAGUACUGUGCAGGCUGGGCUGACAAGAUCCAUGGUCAAACAAUACCGAGUGAUGGAGACAUUUUCACUUUUACGAGACGUGAACCUAUUGGGGUGUGUGGCCAAAUCAUCCCUUGGAAUUUUCCACUGCUUAUGUUCAUUUGGAAGAUAGGCCCUGCCCUCAGCUGUGGGAACACG